rfam:Triticum aestivum genome assembly, contig: Triticum_aestivum_CS42_TGACv1_scaffold_641379_T_1BL-0.165690_1BS-0.156551
UAAAAAUCUGAUGUUACAGGUCUCCGCAAAAUCAUAAGACCAUGUAUGGGGGUUGAUGCCUGCCCAGUGCCGGAAGGUCAAGGAAGUAGGUGAACUGAUGACAGGGAAGCGUAAGACUAUAACGGUCCCAAGGUAGUGAAAUUCCCUGUCGGGUAAGUUCUGACCCACACGAAAGGUGUAA